AUUGAACGCUGGCGGCAGGCCUAACACAUGCAAGUCGAGCGGAUGAAGGGAGCUUGCUCCUGGAUUCAGCGGCGGACGGGUGAGUAAUGCCUAGGAAUCUGCCUGGUAGUGGGGGAUAACGUCCGGAAACGGGCGCUAAUACCGCAUACGUCCUGAGGGGGAAAGUGGGGGAUCUUCGAACCUACCGCUAUCGGAUGAGCCUAGGUCGGAUUAGCUAGUUGGUGGGGUAAAGGCCUACCAAGGCGACGAUCCGUAACUGGUCUGAGAGGAUGAUCAGUCACACUGGAACUGAGACACGGUCCAGACUCCUACGGGAGGCAGCAGUGGGGAAUAUUGGACAAUGGGCGAAAGCCUGAUCCAGCCAUGCCGCGUGUGUGAAGAAGGUCUUCGGAUUGUAAAGCACUUUAAGUUGGGAGGAAGGGCAGUAAGUUAAUACCUUGCUGUCUUGACGUUACCAACAGAAUAAGCACCGGCUAACUUCGUG
rnacentral:rRNA from 1 species